rnacentral:rRNA from 1 species
UACAGAGGGUGCAAGCGUUGCUCGGAAUCAUUGGGCGUAAAGGGUAGGUAGGUGGUCUCAUUUGUCUGGGGUGAAAGCCUUGAGCUUAACUCAAGAAGUGCCCCGGAAACGGUGAGACUGGAGUCUUGGAGAGGGUCGUGGAAUUCCCGGUGUAGCGGUGAAAUGCGUAGAGAUCGGGAGGAACACCAGAGGCGAAGGCGGCGACCUGGACAAGCACUGACACUCAACUACGAAAGCGUGGGGAGCAAACAGG